GUUGAUAUUCCUGUACCACCUCUUUAUCGUUUGAGCAAUGGAGGGACGCAGAAGGAUAGAAGAAGCGUGCGAUUGGUUGUGCACGUCCAAGCAGUUAGGCUGAUAAGUAGGCAAAUCCGCUUAUCGUAAAGGCUGAGCUGUGAUGGGGAAGCUCCUUAUGGAGCGAAGUCUUUGAUUCCCCGCUGCCAAGAAAAGCUUCUAGCGAGAUAAAAGGUGCCUGUACCGCAAACCGACACAGGUAGGCGAGGAGAGAAU
rnacentral:rRNA from 1 species